rnacentral:rRNA from 1 species
GGCCGCGAAUUCGCCCUUAGAGUUUGAUCAUGGCUCAGGACGAACGCUGGCGGCGUGCCUAAUACAUGCAAGUCGAGCGAUGAUUAAAGAUAGCUUGCUAUUUUUAUGAAGAGCGGCGAACGGGUGAGUAACGCGUGGGAAAUCUGCCGAGUAGCGGGGGACAACGUUUGGAAACGAACGCUAAUACCGCAUAACAAUGAGAAUCGCAUGAUUCUUAUUUAAAAGAAGCAAUUGCUUCACUACUUGAUGAUCCCGCGUUGUAUUAGCUAGUUGGUAGUGUAAAGGACUACCAAGGCGAUGAUACAUAGCCGACCUGAGAGGGUGAUCGGCCACACUGGGACUGAGACACGGCCCAGACUCCUACGGGAGGCAGCAGUAGGGAAUCUUCGGCAAUGGGGGCAACCCUGACCGAGCAACGCCGCGUGAGUGAAGAAGGUUUUCGGAUCGUAAAACUCUGUUGUUAGAGAAGAACGUUAAGUAGAGUGGAAAAUUACUUAAGUGACGGUAUCUAACCAGAAAGGGACGGCUAACUACGUGCCAGCAGCCGCGGUAAUACGUAGGUCCCAAGCGUUGUCCGGAUUUAUUGGGCGUAAAGCGAGCGCAGGUGGUUUCUUAAGUCUGAUGUAAAAGGCAGUGGCUCAACCAUUGUGUGCAUUGGAAACUGGGAGACUUGAGUGCAGGAGAGGAGAGUGGAAUUCCAUGUGUAGCGGUGAAAUGC